rnacentral:lncRNA from 1 species
UUUAGGAAUUAAGGUUUAAUUAAGAUUUGAUUUAGGAUUCGGUUUAGGAUUUAAGAUUUAAUUAGGAUUUGAUUUAGGGUUUGAUUUAGGAUUUAAGAUUUAAUUAGGAUUUGAUUUAGGAUUUAUUUAGGCAUUGGUUAGCAUUUGGUUUAGAGUUGGGUUAGGAUUUGGUUUAAGAUUUAGGAUUUUGUAUAGGAUUUAAGGUUUAAUUAGGGUUUGAUUUAGGGUUUGUUUAGGAAUUGAUUAGAAUUUGAUUUAGGAUUUGAUUAAGGUUUGGUUAUGGUUUAGGGUUUGAUUUAGGGUUUAGGAUUUUAUUAGGAUUUAUUUAGGAUUUAAGAUUUAAUUAUUUUUGGCCUAAAUUUUGAAUAAAGUCCAAUAGAUAUAACUAGGAUUAAAUUAAGAUUGAAUUGUGAUGUAUUUGAGAUAUAUUUGUGAUCAUUCUAAUAUUUCUUUAAGAUUUCUUUGAAAUUCUUUGAAAUUUCUUUGAAUUUGAUUAAAGCUUGUUUAACAUUAUUA